UACGUAGGGGGCAAGCGUUGUCCGGAUUUAUUGGGCGUAAAGAGCGUGUAGGCGGCCUGACAGGUCCGCUGUGAAAACUCGAGGCUCAACCUCGAGACGUCGGUUGAAACCAUCUGGCUAGAGUCCGGAAGAGGAGAGUGGAAUUCCCGGUGUAGCGGUGAAAUGCGUAGAUAUCUGGAGGAACACCGGUGGCGAAGGCGGCAUCCUGGACCGGCAUUGACGCUGAGGAGCGAAAGCCAGGGGAGCAAACGGG
rnacentral:rRNA from 1 species